AGGAGAAGAGAGAGUGUCAGGCAGUGCAGCAGUGCAGGGACUGGGGAGGGAAGGGCUGGCAGGAUCUGCACGUGGGGACUGUGGCACCUGCCAGGAGCACAACUGUCCCCAAAGGCCAGGAAACUCAGCUGUGUGUGAGGAUUACUGCUUGUGGCAAAGGAUGUGGUAACAUGCCUGUUGAUGGCCAGGUCCUGUCACCAGGAGCACUUGGAGGGUCUCCUGGUGGCAUGUCCUGAUUGUGCCUGGCUACUCUGUGCCUGGUGUGCUGCCCCUCCAUCCCAACUAAGAGCUGAGUGUGGCUGGGCAGGAGAAAACCCCUUAAAUAUGUCUGGGGCUGAACUACCAUGAGAAGCACUCUUUCAGGAGGAAACUUGAAUUACUGCUCCUCCUUUAAAUAUCUACCACAGUUCCCCUUUCAAAGGGUUAACUCACUGUGUUUAGCCUGAUGGCAGCAUAAAUAGUAAUGACAAAUGUAAAGGGAACCUUCUGCAUUGAAAUUAGCUUUUAGAAAUUAGCUUUCACCAGCACUGGUGCACCUGAGCCUGGAGGAUGCAAUUUGCCUGCUCCUUUCCCCUGGAGAGAUAAGGGAUGAUGGCACCAUGUGUCUGCUGGCUGGAGCCUGCCUGCCUCCUUCCCUGCCUGCUGCUGGGCCAGUGUUCCCAGAGGGCAGCUGCUGGCAUAGUGGAGCCAGUGUAUGUUUGGGGAUGUAAGCACAGGUUUGGGGUUCCUGUGUGCUUCACAUGAGGCCAGUUUUCUUGGUUGACACAGUGGCUUUGAGGUGAUCCUGCUGUGGUACUGACACAGCUGCAGGAUGGAGCAGGGCCCGGGAACUAAAACUCCUGGGUUCCCUCCAUAUCCCAGCUGUGUGGUGUCCUGAGAGGGGGAUAGGUAUGCCACUGCCAUGGACUAAAAAGCCUGGAUGGGGUUACUGGGGUGUCCUGUUCCUCUGCUCCCAUGAGCGAGGAUGGCUGGGUGGCCUGGCUCACCUCCAAUGGCAGUGCCAGUUGUAAGGAGGCAGUGAGGGCUGGCCCAGCUCCCUGGUGCCUGUUGGGGCAGGAUUCUGGUAUUGUCUCACAGGACAGGCAUGGGCCUGAAGCCCUGCUGACACUGCUCUGGCACUGCCAGAGGAGCAGGCUGGCAUUCAUGGCUGGCCUUGUGUGGCAGCUGGUUCCCCAGAGCAGGCUGCAGCCCCAUGCCAAUACCUAAGGGACUUGCCUUGGAGCUGACCUCUUUGCCUGCUGCCUCAUCCUCUGUGUCCCAUAUCACUUCCCUCUGCUCCUCUACUUUGCUUGUGUGAGCAAGGGAAAGCGUAGAGCACUGUGCUGCUCUCCUGCCCUGUAGCCACUGCUCUUGCAGUGUUCUUGGGACCCCAUGGAGUCCCUCAGCAAGACCCUGACCCCAGGCCUCUCCUUCCCCAAAGGAGAUGUUCCAUACGUCCAGGAAGCUGCAUUCACCAAACCAGGCAAAGACCCUGUCCCAGGGACCCUGCUCCAGCCUGGGGAGAUGGGAAGAGGCGGUGGCCAAGGGCCUGUGCACUGGACUGUGCUCUCUAGGGCCUGCCCUCACCAGCCUGGACAUGCCUUUAUUCCUCCCUUCCCAACUCCUGUCAAGUCAAAGGUGGUGGGAAGCAGCCUAUGAAAACAGUGUGGAGUGAACUCUGACUUGCUCAUUGAACCAUGUUUAUUCUCCCUAUGAGAGGGUCCUGUUGACUGGAGCUGCAGGGAUGUCUGGAUUGUCUCCCCCUGACCAAGGGCUGCAGGGAGCUGAGCACUUGCUGCUGCCCUGGGCCCUCCUGGAGACAAAGCCACCCGGUGCUCCUGAGCCCGAUUAAAAAUAAAUGGUAGCUGGCGGAUGCUGCAGGGGUCCGGCUGCCUCCUGGGGGGCCCAGGCCGAGCAGAUGCUGUUUCCAUGGUGACAAAUCCAUUGCCACGGAGCAGACCUGGCUUGGCCGAGGGGUAGUGAGAGACCCUUGACUACAGCUCCCUCUCUGUGACACGGUUCCCCCCAAACUCUGGGGCAUAAAGGGACCCCCCAGGAACCUCUGCUGUUUGUGCAGGUGAAAGCCAUCAGAGGUGAGCUGGGAGCAGUUUGGAUUACAGCUCUCCCCCCACCACCCCUGGAGCAGGGAUUAGUGCCUGUUCUGUUCAGCAUUGUACAUCUGGGUUUUCCUCCAAAUCCUCCCAAUGCAAAUGUGCAGGUUCCAGGGCCACCAUCCCCUCUCCACCUCUGGCACCCAGGCUGUGAUCACGCUCUGUGUCUUACCUUCACGUAUUCACUGCCAGACUCCAGGCCAUCGUGGUGGCUGAAAGGAAGAGGAACAAUAAAAAUAUGUAUGUGUCCAUAUGGAGAAGUCUCAGGGGAACAACAGAGAUUUCCAAAGAAGAGAGUCUGUAACAGCCUGAGCUGGGAUGUGCUGCCUUGAGGUCUCAUCUUUCAGAACCAAAUACAAUAAACCAGAUGUCUUUAAACAGAA